CAGCACUUUACUAUUUACCUCCAUGUCUGACACACGUCCUGGUGUUGCUUCACGCCUUCUGCAGUCCCUCUCUGCAGCUGUGGCAGGAACAUCUGGGCACAGCUGGUGGCAGAGCAGGGUCCUGGGGACAGAGCACCAGAGCAACGUGGGGCUGCUCCUCUUCCUCCAUGAGUACCUCCCUUCUUCACCUCUUUGCUUCUGCGGGUCACUGCCCUCCAGCUGGACAGGCAGGAAGAAGCAGCUGGGAUUUUGGGAAGUUUUCACUCAUCCCUGCAGGUUGUGGUUGUGCUGCUGUGAUGGGACAUGGGAAAAAAUUUUUUUUCAAUGCAUUUUAAGACAGUGGCUUGGUAGGAGUUUUCUGAGGGCUGGAAGGAAGAAGGGCUCAGGUAAAUGUUUUCAUUAUUAAACAGACAGGGACUUUGGUGACUAAUAUGAAGGUGUAGAACAGAUACCUACUUGUUAGUCAUGCAGAAGGAAUUCAGGUUAAUUUCUUGCUGAGGAAAGAAAAGGAGAGGAAAACUGGUAAAGAGAAAAUUAUGAAAAAAUACCUGAUGGUGGUAGUGGAAAUAGAUUAAAAGGUUAUUAAAACCUUCAUUUUUCUGCCCUGAUGUAGGAGGCUCUUUAAUUCCUCUGUGUGUCUGCACCCAUGCAAAAGCUCCUCUCUAUCAAGUAGUCAGUCUGUAGAUAUAUGGAAGCAGCAAUUAUUUGUUUACUUUUCUGCAGUGUGACAACUGCAGAUCAUCUAUAAUAUAUAUUUGGAACAAUCAAACCUCUCACUGAGGUGUGUGAGACACCAACUAAGCUGGUGGGGAGACCACGCUGUUGUCAUGAUAGUGUGCAUUUUAAAUUCUGUACGGCUUUUCUCUUAUUGCUGAGAAAUCCUUGUGCUGCAAAACGUUAGGGGAGUUGAAAUUUAUUUCUGUGUAGAAGUAAGAAGUCGCCCUGGGGUCUAGAGUAGUAAUAUGGCUUCUGUUCAUUCAAACUCUUUGUGUGUUUUUGUACUUCAAGUAGC
rnacentral:lncRNA from 1 species